AGUACUAUUAGAGUUAUCAAAAUUUUAGUGCGGAUUGGAUCUUUACUUGACUGGGAGUUUACGAUCAUUUCAUUCAUUCAGGGCUAUCCAGAAUUCGAUUUGCCAUCAAGAGAAGUAAGUGCGGGGUUGGAUUCGGGGUUGUGCAAAUUGUUUAAUCUCAAAUCCCAAACUUUCAGAAGCUGUCCUGGCUCUCAAAGCUUGCUCCAAUUAUGUCUUUUGGCUAUGCUUCUAUAGGAAUUUGACUCUCUAUUGAAAAAUCAUCUGGGGGCCGGAAGGAAAAACAUAUGUUACUGGAUUGCAUCAAUCUUCAUCAGAAAAAGUUUGGAGUAUAUUCAUUGCAGCCGGAGACAUCGCACUUCCUUACUCAUUCAGUCAUUUGCAGUGAUCAUCAUUGAUAUCCAAGAAACUGAAGUCAUCACCACCAGAAAACAAAGUGAUGAAGAAGGCCACCAAAACAGGGGUGAUGGUGAUGACAAUAUUAUUUACUUUGUGUGGUACCUUGGGUUAUGCUGCAUUUGGAGAUGAAAAAGUACCAGAAAAUCUCAUGGCUGGUUUUCUAUCUCAUAAGGCCUUCUGGAUAGUGGACUUGGCCAAUGUCUUCAUUGUGGUGCACCUAGUGGGUGCAGUUCAGGUAUUUGCCUAACCAGUGUACCGCUUGAUUGAAGUGUGAGCUGCUAGGAGAUGGCCGAGGUCUGGUUUUGUAACCAAGGAAAGGGCAGUAAGCUUUGGGAAGGUGACGUUCAACAUCAACAUGCUUCGCUUAUGCUGCAGAACGGGCUGUGCUUUUGGCUACUGCGAUUG